rnacentral:lncRNA from 1 species
ACACACACACACACACACCACACACAACACACACACACACACACACACACACAACACACACACACACAGGCCUUGUGACGUUUCUGUCUAUGUUUCAAGCUCCGCACUUUGAUCACGAUCAUCUGAAGAUGGCUCCGUCUGCUUCACCACGACUGGACGACUUCCACGGAUACCACCGAGGAAGACGCCAGUCAGAGCCCUCCAGAGCUGCUGAUGUUCACGCCCGAACGCUCCAGGAAGAGUUUACCUCUGCUACUGGACGGAAACCUGCCGUACAGACGCAGCAGGAGGCAGUCGGCCAGCGGGCAGCGACAGCACGUUGGCGUCCUCCGUCAUCGAGAUGGAGGCCGAACAGGAAGAAGCGAGUGUGA